rnacentral:rRNA from 1 species
UACGAAGGGGGCUAGCGUUGUUCGGAAUUACUGGGCGUAAAGCGCGCGUAGGCGGAUAUUUAAGUCAGGGGUGAAAUCCCGGGGCUCAACCCUGGAACUGCCUUUGAUACUGGAUAUCUGGAGUUCGGGAGAGGUGAGUGGAAUUCCGAGUGUAGAGGUGAAAUUCGUAGAUAUUCGGAGGAACACCAGAAGCGAAGGCGGCUCACUGGCCCGAUACUGACGCUGAGGCGCGAAAGCGUGGGGAGCAAACAGG